CAGCAGCCGCGGUAAUAUGUAGGGAGCAAGCGUUAUCCGGAUUUAUUGGGUGUAAAGGGUGCGUAGACGGAUUAACAAGUUGGUUGUGAAAUCCCUCGGCUUAACUGAGGAACUGCAACCAAAACUAUUAAUCUUGAGUACUGGAGGGGAAAGUGGAAUUCCUAGUGUAGCGGUGAAAUGCGUAGAUAUUAGGAAGAACACCGGUGGCGAAGGCGACUUUCUGGACAGUAACUGACGUUGAGGCACGAAAGUGUGGGGAGCAAACAGGAUUAGAUACCCUGGUAGUCCACACCGUACACGAUGGAUACUUGGUGUAGGCUGUGAUGAGCAGUCUGUGCCGGAAGCUAACGCGAUAAGUAUCCCACCUGGGGAGUACGACUGCAAGGUUGAAACUCAAAUAAAUUGACGG
rnacentral:rRNA from 1 species